CAGAGGUCUCAAGCGUUGUCCGGAUUCAUUGGGCGUAAAGGGUGCGUAGGCGGUGGGGCAAGUCAGGUGUGAAAUCCCGGAGCUCAACUCCGGAACUGCACUUGAUACUGCUUUACUCGAGUACUGGAGAGGAGACUGGAAUUUACGGUGUAGCUGUGAAAUGCGUAGAUAUCGUAAGGAAGACCAGUGGCGAAGGCGAGUCUCUGGACAGUUACUGACGCUGAGGCACGAAGGCCAGGGGAGCAAACGGGAUUAGAUACCCCGGUAGUCCUGGCAGUAAACGGUGCACGUUUGGUGUGGGAGGAUUCGACCCCUUCCGUGCCGGAGCUAACGCGUUAAACGUGCCGCCUGGGGAGUACGGUCGCAAGAUUA
rnacentral:rRNA from 1 species